rnacentral:misc_RNA from 1 species
GCAAAUGGGGUUCGCCAGAAUUAAAUAUUAAAACCGCCUAGAAUUGGUCUUGAGUCGGGAAACUUCUAUAUAAGACAUGGACUUCAUGGGUUUCUGACACUGCCAACAACCCUACCAAGUGCACACUCCACUGUAGCUUCCUUCCAUUCAAACAAUUCCAAAAGAAAAUUUUGAGAACAUGGAACAAAUAGAUCGGCAAAACCUCCAAACUUUAAGCCAGUUCUUAAUUAGAUAUCAGUUUCUAAACAAAAUAAUUCAAUUGUUGCUUUCAGUUUCUGUGCUUUCUUUGCUAUUAUUGUCUAACUCCUCUUGCCUUUCUUUUUUCCAUUCCUUCAACUUCUACUUCUCCACUGUCCCUGUCCAGCUCUUUAGCCACACCAUAAACAAGAAUUGCAUAUUCCUCCUCUGUAAUGGUCUUCUAGUUUUCGUCGCCACAUUUUCGGGUUUGAUUAGUUCUUCCUCAGAGUAUAAGAAUCGUAGCAGCAUUAAUGAGUCUGCCAAUAACUAUGAAGAUGAUGCACUGCCAUUAGUAUUGGAUCAAUACUCGACGGAGUCAUUGCUAGAGAAUGAAGAUAAAAUGGCCCAAGAAAAAGUAGCUGGUGAAGAAAGAAGAGAAAAUGGCGAGUAUGUCACUGGAGAAGUAGUAGAUCUAGAAACACAGCAGUUCAUUGUGGACGAUGAUCAACCAGAAGACAGUAGAGAAAGUAGGGUCUUGAUUACAACAGUAAAAGAAAAUAGUGAAGUUUUCGUCGAAGAAGAUGAUGAUUAUCAAAGAGAGGUCGUCAAAGAGUUCGAUAACAAGUUUCCUGUC